UUGCCUUCAGCACCAGCAGAUCCAGAUCCUGCGCAGAGCGUCUCCAGCGCGGACCAACGCCGUGAAAACAAGCCCAACAGGAUACUACGUGGGGUGAUGGCUCCGUUACUAACAUCUGUGUGAUUUUUAAAUCAGACGCGAAAGCGCUGAUGUGAAGUUUCACGCCGCUCUCAUUUGAGUUGAGAUGAAGAUCUGAGACGCCGCCAGAGAAGGAACUUUGCGUCUCCGCGCGCCCGGACGCCCUGCGGGGACAUCGGGCGCUUUUGUGAUCAGAGGACUGAACUUCUUUUUUUGUGUUUGUGGGUUUCUGACUCUCUCUGACAGAGUAGAUAUAGGAGAGAUCAUUUGGUGCGGAUUGUUCAAGCCUCUCCGAUUCGUGGAUGGAAUAAAUCAUAAUGGAACGGCAAUGAGACCCGUCUCUGCUGCUGGGCAAUAAUCCGGACCACCGCACCAACAGAAUGCAGGAGCGGGCGGUACAGAGGGUGUGCGCGUGGCUCUUGCUGGUGUUUUUGACCCUUCUGUCUCUCUGGGGUCAUCUGUCUGAUGCCUCCUCUCACCGCAGUCACAUCGGACCUGAGGGAGAUCGGUCACACCACAAAUAUGUAUUUCAAGAUGCCGAUGGAGCCAGC